GAUGAACGCUGGCGGCGUGCCUAAUACAUGCAAGUCGAACGAAACUUCCUUAUCACCGAGUGCUUGCACUCACCGAUAAAGGGUUGAGUGGCGAACGGGUGGGUAACACGAGGGAAACCUGCCCUAAAGAGGGGGAUAACACUUGGAAACAGGGGCUAAUACCGCAUAACCAUAGUGACCGCAUGGUAACUAUGUAAAAGGUGGCUAUACUACCGCUUUUGGAUGGGCCCGCGGCGCAUUAGCUAGUUGGUAGGGUAAAGGCUUUCGAAGGGUAUGAUGCGUAGCCCACUUGAGAGGGUGAUCCGCCAGCUUGUGACUGAGGCACGGCCCACACUCCUGCGGGAGGCAGCAGUCGGGAAUCUUCCGCGAGGGACGAAAGCCUGAUGGAGCAACGCCGCGUGAGUGCAGAAGGUCUUCGGCUCGUAAAGCCCUGUUGUUAGAGAAGAAAGUGAGUGAGAUUAACUGUUCACGUUUUGACGGUAUCUAACCAGAAAGCCCCGGCUAACUACGUG
rnacentral:rRNA from 1 species